UACAGAGGGUGCGAGCGUUAAUCGGAAUUACUGGGCGUAAAGCGUGCGUAGACGGUUAUGUAAGUUAGGUGUGAAAGCCCGGGGCUCAACUCCGGAAUUGCCUUUAAGACUGCAUCGCUUGAAUCCGGGAGAGGUGAGUGGAAUUCCGAGUGUAGAGGUGAAAUUCGUAGAUAUUCGGAAGAACACCAGUGGCGAAGGCGGCUCACUGGACCGGUAUUGACGCUGAGGUGCGAAAGCGUGGGGAGCAAACAGG
rnacentral:rRNA from 1 species